CCACAACAGCUGCAGCAGACAAUACAACAACAGCUGCAGCAGCAACAACAACGGCUGCCAUAUGAACGAGAUAUGCUGCUGGAACUACAGCUGCAGCAACUGAUGCUGCAUCAAGAUCACGAACUCCUGCAGCCCCAUGAAAAACUGCGUCAACAAAUUCUGCAGCGGUUACAACAACAUAUGCUGCAGAAACAACAAGAGAGGCAGCAGCUAGAAGAUAAACUGCAACAAGAAAUUCUGCAGAAGUUACAACAACAGAUGUUGCGGCAACAAGAGCUGCAGCAGCUAGAAGAAGAGCUGCAACAUCUAAUGCUGUAGCAGUUACAACAACAACAGGAGCAAGUAUAACAGGAUUACCAGACCGUUAUCUUUAUGACCAGGCAAUGCAUUCAAGCGCAACGCAUUGAAGAAACUAGCGAGACAUAUACCACUACCUAAAAGACCCAAAUUCUACCCCAACUUUUUAAUCAGCGUUAGCAACCAUAACCUUCCUUCAGGCCGCCACAUCUGUUCUAAGCCUGGCCUCUCUAAAGACAUCAUCAACCUCACCCGACAGCGAAACAACCUCCGUGCUGCCGACCCCACCUCCGACGAUGUAGCAGUCCUCACUGCCCAUAUCCACCAGCUCCCCAACGACAUAAAGAAAACCUGAUGGAAAUAAUACCUCUCUACCUUCAACCGCCAUACCAAUCUUAAACGCCUCUGGUCAAUAAUAAAGGCCCUUGCCGGCAAGCCAAAAAACUACCCCAAUAACGCCAUCAACUUCAAUGAGAAACCCAUCAAUAAUAUCAAAAAGCUUGCUGAUUGCUUCGACAGUCUCUUCACGGCUGUCGCUCAACACAGGUCCAAUAAACUCAAUAGAAUCACAACCCGAAAGUCAAAGAACCUCAACCUAUCAGACAGUCCCUCCCUGUCAACGGCACAAGUGGCCAACGCAAUCAAACAAGCCCAUCCCUCUAAAGCCACUGGACCAGACCAACCCAUCAUCUUUUACCUCAAAUAUCUUGGACCACUCGGAAUUACCUACCUGACCCGCUGUAAGGUGGAAAAAAUAAUUAUUAACUGGCAUUUCUGCAUUCAAUUUCAUUCCGCAUUCAAAUAAUUUCUUCCUGGUUUGAAGAUGAUUCCUCCAUCCCGAUGUUGAUUAACAUAUAUUUGUAUUAGCCUUCCUUGUUUUACCCGGUAGAGACAAAGUCAUACUGCUGCUAUAACCCGGCAAACUGGACAAUCUCGCUAAAUCCUACCCACCAAUCUCCGUGCUUUGCCCCGCCAUCAAAGUCCUGGAACGAUGCUUGCUUCCUAUUAUCACUCAACACCUGCUCGUGGCCGAUCAUCAACAUUGAUUCCUCUCUGGAUAUUCGACCACGACUGCGCUCACCCUGGUGUGAACAUGGAUGAGAUUUUGCUCCUGCAAAAUAGCUUUCGCAGUGCAUGAUAUCCAACUCUUAUUGGUGGCAUGAUUUGUUAUUAUUUACAUAAAUGUUAAUUUGUUGUGUUUGACUUGAGUCGAAUUGCUAAUGAAUUAAUAUUUAGUCUACUUGAAAUCUGAAAAUGUUACAACCUUCAUUCUUGAUUCUUUCUUGAUCUCAACUUUAAUCCUUAGUUUUUGUUUCGGACGUAGGCCACAGUGGAUCGCUGCCUCUGAUUAUCGCUCAUCUGCCCUCAUUUGGGCCAGCUGAAGCACGAUGCUGUUACUUGCUUCUUGCCGUCGGUAGUGGUGCAAGGGCAGAGUGACAAUCAAAUUUUUUCCCUUGCUCAUGUUUAGACUCGUUCAUAAAAUAAAUUAUUGGCUCA
rnacentral:lncRNA from 1 species